UACGUAGGGUGCAAGCGUUAAUCGGGCUUACUGGGCGUAAAGCGUGCGCAGGCGGUUCCAUAAGACAGAUGUGAAAUCCCCGGGCUCAACCUGGGAACUGCAUUUGUGACUGUGGGGCUAGAGUACGGUAGAGGGGGAUGGAAUUCCGCGUGUAGCAGUGAAAUGCGUAGAUAUGCGGAGGAACACCAAUGGCGAAGGCAAUCCCCUGGACCUGUACUGACGCUCAUGCACGAAAGCGUGGGGAGCAAACAGG
rnacentral:rRNA from 1 species